rnacentral:misc_RNA from 1 species
UUAGCAUCUGAUGAACAAUAGGAAUGCUUUCCAGAGAUAGAUAUAUACAAGUUUUUUUAUUAUUCUUAUUGUUUAUCGAAUAUUAAACAAGAAAUGAUGACAAAUGAUAAUAUAACUAGACUCGUGUCAACUUUGAAAAAUAUCCUAGACCUAGAUAAAGCUCACUGAUUAGCUCUGAUCGGCUCAAUUCCGUACAAUAUAGAUGAUGUGAUCUCAUUGGAAUAUUCUACUAACUUAUCAUUUGACACGUGCUUGCAAUGACCGCUUGCAGCUAAUCGCUUGUUCUGCUGAAUGCUGUCAACGUCUGAUCAACGAAUGAAUAAAGAAGACAGUGGCGAUUUCAUUAAAAAUGACAGCACAUAUUACUUCGCAAAAAUUAAAAAUAAUUAUAAAUGAGAAUAACUGGGAUCAGUUAUUGCAAGAGAUCAAACCAAAACAUUUUGUCAGGCAAGAAUCAGGAAUAAUACCUGAUGCAGGUAUCUUAGCACAGUUGUGUCAAAUACUCGUAAGUGAAAUUACUCUGGAUAUGAUUAAGAUUUUGUGUUUGAAAUGCCUGGGAAAUUCUUGCCUCGAUAGUUACAAACAUAAACAGCAUACAAUAAGAAACGUAGAAUCUGUUCAAUAUAGCAAGAAUUUAUACGAUGAAUUAGUUGAGAGUGAUUUAUGUCAACAAGGAAAGAAUUGUGAUUAUCCACAUGAUUCUCAUUUCCCAUACGAUGGAGUCGUAGAAUGGACUGUAUAUUAUAUCAAGUCUCAUGAUGAAUCCAUGGAUUGUUUGACUGAUAAGGAAUUGGACAUCUUUAGACUCAGUAUUCAAUUUUUAUGUAAUUUAUUUACAUAUGCAUGUCCAAAUGUAACAUCAGCAGACAAUAUUUUAAGAUAUAUAAAUUGUGAUAACUUCAAACAAGUUAUUCUAAAUAGUAUGCAAUCUGAUUACAAACUUCUUGCCAGUGCAGCUUGUAUAUAUGUGCAUAAUGCAUUAAAAAAAUUACCUGACGAUCAUUUCACAAAUGAUGAGAAAAAUCUAUAUUUACAAUUAAUAAAACCUGCUAAAGAAAAUUUUACAUCUGCAAAGGAUGCAUUACUAUUUCUAUUACAACGACGAAAUAUAUUUGAGAAUAUAUACAGUAGCAUAGCCAUAAGCGAAAAGUUAGAAUUACUUGAAAUUAUAUAUAAUGAAGUCUGGACAUCCUGGCAAUCUGAUCUUAAUACAGUGCUCACGGAAGAUCAAGCUGAGUUUCUAACGCUAACAUUUUGCAAAAAAAGUGAUCUUAUUUUGAAGACUGUGGACACGUAUGUAAAUAGUAUAGAUCCUACAGAAGUUAUACUUAUUCUUAAUAUUCUGGGACUUAUUACUACGCAAUACAAGAUUUCAAAGAAUGCCAGAUCUUUGCUCAUUAAUUGUAAAUAUCUUUUAAUGUCCUUACAUAUGAUGGGAAAAGAGGCGGAUAAUUAUUUUACUCCAAUAACAAAUUUAAGUAAAGUGGCACCUAGUGCUAAAAGGACAACUGUCGAUAUAGAAACAAAUGAUAUAGAAACAUCUAAAGCAAUAGAUGAUCUACAAGAACAUCCUGCAUAUGGCUUUAAAGCGGGACUAAUACAAGUCAUUGCAAAUAUAGUGCAUAAGAACAAAAUAUGUCAGGAUCUGUUUCGCGAGAUAGAUGGAAUUCCGUUACUUUUGGAUUGUUGUAACAUAGACGCACGGAAUCCACUCAUCCUGCAAUGGACCAUUCUCGCUUUGAGAAAUCUAUGCGAGGGGAAUCCCGAGAAUCAAGAAAUUAUUAGAAAUUGUGAAAAGAAGGGCGUGCCGGAUAAUCCUGCGUUACAAGAGAUGGGAUUGACUCUACAUGAGGACGCGGAUGGGAAAUCGAUUCGUAUCGCUCCUUUACGUCGCAAUUAGGGAGAUUUACAGUUUUUUCUAGGAACGCGAUUGUUCUCGGUCAAUCAAUCAGCUCAAAUCAUUGUUUGUAUCGAUAAUAUUCUUAAUAAGAUACGAUAUAUAUGUGUAUGUUUUUGUGAUGGGUGUAACCGGAUUUUCCUGUAUAAAUAAUUAUUAUUCCAACUAGACUGAAAUGUAUCCUGCUAUGCCAAUCGCUAAGAAACGACUCUGCAAUUACGACGAUUAUUAUGCUAUUAGGCGAAAUACGACGUGGUAUGACAUAGAGAGAUAUUUUAUCUACAAUCAUGGCCGAGUGAUUUACGAUACAAUAAAAGCUGCCGUGAGAGUUCACGAUCUAUUAGUAGUUACUAAUACAGUGUUCUCCAAAUCGAUAAAUAAAUUCGCGAUAAAUUAUAUACGUUUGUCUCUCCACGUUUUUCCGCCCUCUCACAAAAUUGCGCAAGACAGGAGGCAUGGAGACGUUGAAGAAUUAUAGAAUCUCCAAUUACGCUGUCAAGUGACGCGUGUUUCAAUAAAUAAUUUCUUCGUUAAUUAA